UACGUAGGGGGCAAGCGUUGUCCGGAUUUACUGGGCGUAAAGAGCGUGUAGGCGGCCACGCAGGUCCGUUGUGAAAACUGGAGGCUCAACCUCCAGCUGUCGACGGAAACCGUGUGGCUAGAGUCCGGAAGAGGAGAGUGGAAUUCCUGGUGUAGCGGUGAAAUGCGCAGAUAUCAGGAGGAACACCGGUGGCGAAGGCGGGUCUCUGGGCAGUAACUGACGCUGAGGAGCGAAAGCGUGGGGAGCGAACAGG
rnacentral:rRNA from 1 species